CGCCCUUUGUGAGCAGCUCCAUCAUCAGAAAGGAAGUUCAAGAAGAUGAAGACCUUCAAUUAUCAAUGGCAGUUGCUCUACUCUUCUUCUCCUUCCUUCUCAGGGUUUAUCCUGCUAUAAUAUAAACGAGAUUGAUUCAUUUUGGCCUACAUUAUCGUCUUGAGUCUCUUGACUUUAAUCGUCUUUAUCACUGUCGGACUGGAUUCUGAUAACCAGUAGUCAUUGUCGAAGAACAAGGG